rnacentral:rRNA from 1 species
GAUGAACGCUGGCGGCGUGCCUAAUACAUGCAAGUCGAACGAGGUGGAAGGGAGCUUGCUCCUGGAUGCCUAGUGGCGAACGGGUGAGUAACACGUAGGUAACCUGCCCUUAAGCUUGGGAUACCCAGAGGAAACUUUGGCUAAUACCGGAUAACAACAGAGGAGGCAUCUCCUUUGCUUGAAAGGCCCUUCACGGGGUCACUUAAGGAUGGACCUGCGGCGCAUUAGCUAGUUGGUGAGAUAAAAGCCCACCAAGGCGAGGAUGCGUAGCCGACCUGAGAGGGUGAUCGGCCACAUUGGAACUGAGACACGGUCCAAACUCC